GCGGAGGAAAAGAAAAUAACAAUGAUUUCCCUAGUAACGGCGAGUGAAGAGGAAAGAGCUCAAAGUUGGAACCUGUUUGGCUUAGCUAAACCGGAUUGUAAACUGUAGAAACAUUUUCCAGAUACACUAGACAAAAAAGUCCUUUGGAACAGGGCAUCAUAGAGGGUGAGAAUCCCGUCUUUGGUCUAAGUAGUUGUCUAUUGUGAUAUGUUUUCAAAGAGUCAGGUUGUUUGGGAAUGCAGCCUAAAUUGGGUGGUAAAUCUCACCUAAAGCUAAAUAUUUGCGAGAGACCGAUAGCGAACAAGUACCGUGAGGGAAAGAUGAAAAGAACUUUGAAAAGAGAGUUAAACAGUAUGUGAAAUUGUUAAAAGGGAACCGUUUGGAGCCAGACUGGCUUGAUUGUAAUCAACCUAGAAUUCGUUUUGGGUGCACUUGCAGUCUAUGCCUGCCAACGACAGUUUGAUUUGGAGGAAAAAAUUAAUAGGAAUGUGGCCUCUCGAGGUGUUAUAGCCUAUUAUCAUACUCUGGAUUGGACUGAGGAACGCAGUGAAUGCCUUUAGGCAAGAUUGCUGGGCGCUUUCGCUAAUAAAUGUUAGAAUUUCUGCUUCGGGUGGUGCUAAUGUUUAAAGGAGGAACUCGUUUAGUAUAUUUUUUAUUCGCUUAGGUUGUUGGCUUAAUGACUCUAAAUGAC
rnacentral:rRNA from 1 species